rnacentral:rRNA from 1 species
GACGAACGCUGGCGGCGUGCUUAACACAUGCAAGUCGAACGGAAAGGCCCUGCUUUGGUGGGGUGCUCGAGUGGCGACCUGGUGAGUUACACGUGAGUAACCUGCCCUUGCCUUUGGGAUAACUUCAGGAAACUGGGGCUCAUACCGGCUAGGAGCUCUUGCUGCAUGGUGGGGGUGGGAAAGUUUAGGCGGUUGGUGGUGGACUCGCGGCUUAUCAGCUUGUUGGUGGGGUAGUGGAUUAGCAAGGCUUUGACGGGUGGCCCGCCUGAGCGGGUGACCGGCUACAUUAGGCCUGAGAUGAGGCACAGACCCCUACGGGAGGCAGCGGUGGAGAAUAUUGCACAAUGGGCGGAAGCAUGAUGUAGCAAAGCAGCGUGGGGGAUGAGGGCCUGCGGGUUGUGAAGUGCUGUUGCCUGUGACGAAGCGUGAGUGACGGUAAUGGGUAAAGAAGCACCGGCUAACUACGUG